GCUAUGAUGACCUUUGCCAGCCGGUGUAUAUCCAUCCUCACCGGCGGUGUACGUUAUCACGUGCGUGAAUAAUUAUCUGAAGCCU
rnacentral:ncRNA from 1 species